UACGCCCGAUCUCGUCCGAUCUCGGAAGCUAAGCAGGGUCGGGCCUGGUUAGUACUUGGAUGGGAGACCCCCUGGGAAUACCAGGUGCUGUAAGCUU
rnacentral:rRNA from 1 species